AGAAUAUAAUGUGGAAUACUAAUGGCUACAGGGCAAUAAUUGGCAAGAUUGCUUCAGUUACACAUGAGUUACAGCCCUUGAAUAUGUCUUAGUAGUGUUGCUUACCAAUACAGAAGCAAAAUUUUCUUGGUAAAAUAUUCAAGGUUGUUAUAAAUAGGAACUUGGUCAUUUUGGAUUUCAAGUAGGUUACUAGGUCAGUUUAUAGAGAAACUUACCAAUACAGAAGCUAAAUUUUCUAUGUAAUUGAAAUAAAACCAUUCUGAAUGUUUGCCUAUGGAACUAAAUUAAAUUCAAGUUUAACUGGGUCAUCUGAUGUAAAAGGUCACCUGGUAAUAUCUAGUUGGAAACUGCAUCAUUUGAGGUCAAAAACUAGAUCAAAGAAAAAUCCUUAGUUACACUCUAGUUAUAUACAUGUAAGAGAUGUGAAACUUGGUUCAGUAUCUAGCACUAUUGUGACCCUUUUGAUUUUUGUAAAGUUUUAAGUAAUUUUUGUGUAAGUUUCAGUUUAAAUCAGGUUUACACUUGAUAUUGCAUAAAGUUAUGGUUAGGUUAAGGGCUUUUUUCUUACUUUAAGAGGGUAGGAGUGAGCAUUAUUUUGUUUUGUUUUUCUGCCAAUCUUUCAGACAACUAAGGAUGAGAUGCUGCUUCAAAAGAUUGGCAGAAUUGCUUUUUGUUACAGCUUCCAAGGCCUGACAGAUCCCUUAACUAUUGAUCGAGACAUGCUGCCGUAACCAUCGAGGAUAAUCUGGUGUCUAUAUAUCCGCAAGGUGGAGACGUGUGGGAGUGACUGGUUCUAUAAUUCUGUGCCAGCAGUGUUUAGAUGAAGGUUGUUCCUUUUUGUUUUGAGAGAUGGGAAUCAGGGAUUGUGAGGAUUUUCAUUUCUUUCAGGUACACAGUCUGCCAAUGACAACUGACUGUAUGUCCCGUCCAUACGUACAGUCGGCAGGAUUUUCUUUCAGCAUCAAGACCUGCCUAGGGCAGUCUCUAUGAGGUGGGCAGGAUUUCUUCUUUUCCAGGUCCAAGGCCUGCCUAAGACAACUGAACAUAUAGAUGUGGCAAAACUUUUCUUUCAGAUUUCCAGGCCUUGCAGAUUCCUUAACUGUUGAUCAAGACUGCUAUCGUGACUAUCGAGGACCCGGUGCCUAUAUGUCCGCAAGAUAGGAGCGUUUGGGGGCAACUUUUCUACAAUUCUUUGCCGGCAGGUUGCUAGACGAUAGUUGCUCCUUUGUUGAGUGAGAUGGAAAUCAGGAAUUGCAAGGAUUUCUUAUUUAUUUCAGGUCAAUGCCCUGCCUAUGUCUUCUAAUGCAUGUUUUACUUGGACGGAACAUACAUUGGGCAGGUUUUGUAUUUCUUUCAGGUUCAAGGCCUGCCAGGAACGGGCAGGAUUUUUUCUCUUUCAGAUGAAUGUUUGCCUUUCUUUAACCAGGACAGGCCAGUCUGUCGGAAGUUUUUUUCAUGUAGCUCACUUCUGCAGUAUUGAAUUCUUGCCUUAUUAAAGCAAACUUUCUUAACAUAACAUAAUUUGGCAGGUUUUUUCCUGUUUUGGCUUAUUUUUAAUUACAGGCUUGAGAGCAGUCUUUUACUAUUUCCAUGCUUGGAAAUGUUAAAUGAUGACAGUCCUUUUGUAGAAAGCCAGACACUUUGUACCCAUGGAAAUGUGAAAUGAUGCCAGGUGUUGUGUAUGUCACCUGCCUGCAAUCUACAAGACCUUGACUGCAUGGAUCUUCAGUAUUUCCAUUUAGAACUCUGAUGACACGACAAAACAAUUCUACAAUCUUCACCAUGAUUAUGGUCGAAUUGCAAUUCCAGCAUAGCAAGUGCAGUAUAGUGUAAAGCCAGCAUGUAUGUUUUUCUCACAAAGCAACAAGGUGUGUCAAGGCAGAAGCUGUGCAUCUUGAGAGGCAUGAGAAUGUUUCUAUUCCAAUAUGGCUGUGAGCAUGAAAUCACCUGACCAUGUGCAGAAAACAUCUUCUGUGAACCAAUCAACUUUUUAACAUAGUGACAUGUUUUCCUCCCAAUUUAGAUGUUCAGUGUAUGAUUGGUCAUCUUAACCAAGAAACAUUGCAAGCUCACUGAAAUCUGCAAUCACUUCAGCCGACUUGGUCAUGAUAGUGAAAAUUAAAGUUCCUGAAAAAUCGGCAUGUUGAUGACCAGUAGCAGUCAGAAUGUGAGGCAAAAAUGACUUUGGCAGUAACCCAGACAUUCCUUAUGUAUCUUCAUACAUCUGUGUCUUAGUCAAGAAGUUAACUUGGACCUGUCCCACAGGGAGUCAUUGAUUACCAACUAGGUAGCAGGACACACUUCACAGAUGGAACCACAAAAAAUGUUUAUCUGUAACAGACCUGAUACUGAAGGCUAUAACCAAAGCCUAAGCUGGAAUCUGCUGAGGUGAAAUAAACAUAAGACUCAUCGAGUGUGACUUUAGAGCAAAAUUUAUUCAAAUGUGACGAAAGAUAAACAUUAAAAUUCACUUAAGUAACAAUUUAAGUAAUGUUUAAAGGUGAUAGUGAAAACUAUGAAUUUGACAUUAAAGUUCAGAUGACAGUGAAAAAGAGACAGUAAUACUUACUUGUAAAAUUCAGGUGUGACCAUGUUAGAUUAGAUAUUUGAACCACUGCAUGUUCUAUUAAAAUUAUGUUUAAAUGUGACAGUAGACAUAGUAAAAUGAGGAUAUGUGAAUUGGUAUAAAUGUCAUAUAAUAAAGUGAAACUGAUA